UACGUAGGUGGCAAGCGUUGUCCGGAAUUAUUGGGCGUAAAGCGAGCGCAGGCGGUCUUUUAAGUCUGAUGUGAAAGCCCACGGCUCAACCGUGGAGGGUCAUUGGAAACUGGCAGACUUGAAUGCAGAAGAGGAAAGUGGAAUUCCAUGUGUAGCGGUGAAAUGCGUAGAGAUCGGGAGGAAUACCAGUGGCGAAGGCGACUUUCUGGUCUGUAAUUGACGCUGAGGCUCGAAAGCGUGGGGAGCAAACAGG
rnacentral:misc_RNA from 1 species